rnacentral:sRNA from 1 species
AAGGAAAUUAACUAAAAUUCACUUAAGUCUCUUAAAGUCACUACAAAUUCAAUCCUUAAAAUGUUUUCAAUAACAAGGGAUUUUUAAGUAAAUUCACAUACUUUUGGAGGAACUACAGAGCGACAGGGAAGAAUUCCCAUGCUUUUUUUUAUCAUUAAUUUCUCGUAAUGCAAAUGUAAAAGCGGAUAACUUAGCGCGAAAAGUUCGCACUGAACCGUUUCAUAUAACUUAUGUAAACAACAUUCCUCAGUUUUGGCUCGUUUGAGUCCUAAUUAUAAUCGGAUGACAAAAAAAA